CCUACGGGGGGCAGCAGUGGGGAAUAUUGCACAAUGGGCGCAAGCCUGAUGCAGCGACGCCGCGUGAGGGAUGACGGCCUUCGGGUUGUAAACCUCUGUUAGCAUCGAAGAAGCGAAAGUGACGGUAGGUGCAGAGAAAGCGCCGGCUAACUACGUGCCAGCAGCCGCGGUAAUACGUAGGGCGCGAGCGUUGUCCGGAAUUAUUGGGCGUAAAGAGCUUGUAGGCGGUUGGUCGCGUCUGCUGUGAAAGGCUGGGGCUUAACCCUGGUUUUGCAGUGGGUACGGGCUAACUAGAGUGCAGUAGGGGAGACUGGAAUUCCUGGUGUAGCGGUGGAAUGCGCAGAUAUCAGGAGGAACACCGAUGGCGAAGGCAGGUCUCUGGGCUGUAACUGACGCUGAGAAGCGAAAGCAUGGGGAGCGAACAGGAUUAGAUACCCGGGUAGUC
rnacentral:rRNA from 1 species